GCAUAUCAAUAAGCGGAGGAAAAGAAACCAACAGGGAUUACCUCAGUAACGGCGAGUGAAGCGGUAACAGCUCAAAUUUGAAAUCUGGCUCUUUUAGGGUCCGAGUUGUAAUUUGUAGAAGAUGCUUUGGGCGUGGCUCCGGUCUAAGUUCCUUGGAACAGGACGUCAUAGAGGGUGAGAAUCCCGUAUGUGACUGGUAGCUUUCGCCCGUGUAAAGCUCUUUCGACGAGUCGAGUUGUUUGGGAAUGCAGCUCAAAAUGGGUGGUAAAUUUCAUCUAAAGCUAAAUAUUGGCCAGAGACCGAUAGCGCACAAGUAGAGUGAUCGAAAGAUGAAAAGCACUUUGGAAAGAGAGUUAAACAGUACGUGAAAUUGUUGAAAGGGAAGCGCUUGCAACCAGACUCGCAGGCCGUCGAUCAUCCAGGGUUCUCCCCGGUGCACUCGGCGGUUUUCGGGCCAGCAUCGGUUUGGGUGGUGGGAUAAAGGCCUUGGGAAUGUAGCUUCUUUCGGGGAGUGUUAUAGCCCUCGGUGCAAUGCCGCCUACCCGGACCGAGGACCGCGCUUCGGCUAGGAUGCUGGCGUAAUGGUUGUAAGCGACCCGUCUUGAAACACGGACCAAGGAGUCUAACAUCUAUGCGAGUAUUUGGGUGUUAAACCCAUAUGCGUAAUGAAAGUGAACGGAGGUGAGAACCCUUAAGGGUGCAUCAUCGACCGAUCCUGAUGUCUUCGGAUGGAUUUGAGUAAGAGCAUAGCUGUUGGGACCCGAAAGAUGGUGAACUAUGCCUAAAUAGGGUGAAGCCAGAGGAAACUCUGGUGGAGGCUCGCAGCGGUUCUGACGUGCAAAUCGAUCGUCAAAUUUGGGUAUAGGGGGCGAAAGACUAAUCGAACCAUCUAGUAGCUGGUUCCUGCCGAAGUU
rnacentral:rRNA from 1 species